GAAAGCAUUUGCCAAGGACGUUUUCAUUAAUCAAGAACGAAAGUUAGGGGAUCGAAGAUGAUCAGAUACCGUCGUAGUCUUAACCAUAAACUAUGCCGACUAGGGAUCGAUGCGUUGUUCUUUUUAUGACUCGCUCGGCACCUUACGAGAAAUCAAAGUUUUUGGGUUCUGGGGGGAGUAUGGUCGCAAGGCUGAAACUUAAAGGAAUUGACGGAAGGGCACCACCAGGAGUGGAGCCUGCGGCUUAAUUUGACUCAACACGGGAAAUCUCACCAGGUCCAGACACAAUAAGGAUUGACAGAUUGAGAGCUCUUUCUUGAUUUUGUGGGUGGUGGUGCAUGGCCGUUCUUAGUUGGUGGAGUGAUUUGUCUGCUUAAUUGCGAUAACGAACGAGACCUUAACCUACUAAAUAGUGCUGUUAGCUUCGGCUGAACUGGCACUUCUUAGAGGGACUAUCGAUUUCAAGUCGAUGGAAGUUUGAGGCAAUAACAGGUCUGUGAUGCCCUUAGACGUUCUGGGCCGCACGCGCGCUACACUGACGGAGCCAGCCGUACUAUCCUUGGCCGAAAGGUCCGGGUAAUCUCGUGAAACUCCGUCGUGCUGGGGAUAGAGCAUUGAAAUUAUUGCUCUUCAACGAGGAAUUCCCUAG
rnacentral:rRNA from 1 species